CCCACCUGAGCGGCGCAUCCUCAGGGCCUGGGCCUGGCCUCCUUGCCUGUGAGAUGGCACUGUGACGGUGCCCACCUCGUGGGGUGUGUGAGGGCCGAGUGAAAUCGUGCAUUUGCGGUCUGAAAUGCAGAAGACAGAAGAUGAGCUCUGGCUCUUCACCUGCAUGGCUGGUGGCAGUGUGGCCUCAGUCUUCUGGGGCUUGAGGAGCUCUGACACUGGUCAGGUCAGAGGUGCCCACUCACCCACUGCUGCCCGUAGCUGUCUUCCACAUCGUUGAUCCAGCGGUCAUCCCAGUCCACUCGGAGGCCCAACAGGUGAAUUGGGAGGAAGCCGUUCUCAGCCAGAAUCACAAAGUGAAGUAUACAAAAAUAAAGAUUCCCAUCUGAUAAACAAAUGUUAACUGCUGCCUUGAAGAGUGGUAAUACUGAUUCUGUGAAGCCGGGAUUGGGACACACACUGGAUACUGGUCCUGAGAAUUUCUUUUCCCAACGCCAGCCUCAUGGAUGCUGGGAGCAUAGUGCCAGUGAAUGAAGACACAGCUCACACCUCACUACUAUCGAUCUGUGACUGUUGUGACACUCACCAUGUCAGUGCCCAAGUCAAUGCAGAGGAUGGUGACAGUCCCCAGUGGUAGUGGAAUGUUUGCAAUAAUAAAUAUCAGGAACGGG
rnacentral:lncRNA from 1 species